UACAGAGGUCCCAAGCGUUGUUCGGAUUCACUGGGCGUAAAGCGCGCGCAGGCGGUUUUUCAAGUCAGUGGUGAAAGCCCGGAGCUCAACUCCGGAAAUGCCAUUGAAACUGUUAAACUUGAGGAUGAGAGAGGUGAGUGGAAUUCCCAGUGUAGAGGUGAAAUUCGUAGAUAUUGGGAAGAACACCGGUGGCGAAGGCGGCUCACUGGCUCAUUACUGACGCUCAGGCGCGACAGCGUGGGGAUCAAACAGG
rnacentral:rRNA from 1 species